rnacentral:lncRNA from 1 species
AAAAGAAGAUUAGUGUAUAAAGACACUUGCCAGAAAAUAGCAGAAUAAAGUUUAAAUAUGUGAAAUCUAAACAGAAAUGAUUGAGCACCAGUUAAGAUGAUUAUAAUGAGCAUUUCUGAUUCAAAUGUUUCGACAAGAAUGUGUAAGAUGUAAAUGGAACACUUCACAUAACUUCUUUGAUAGAAUAAAUAAAUGGUUUAAUUGUUAAAGGAAAUGGAAUAUUCAGGUGAUACUAGAACUGAAUUCAACUAUUUUCAAAUUUCAAACCUGGCAGUUUGUGACAGUGGAGCUUUACCAUCAG